GUGAGUAACACGUGAGCAACCUGCCCCUGACUCUGGGAUAAGCCCGGGAAACUGGGUCUAAUACCGGAUAUGACCACUUCGGGCAUCCGAUGGUGGUGGAAAGUUUUUCGGUCGGGGAUGGGCUCGCGGCCUAUCAGCUUGUUGGUGGGGUAGUGGCCUACCAAGGCGACGACGGGUAGCCGGCCUGAGAGGGCGACCGGCCACACUGGGACUGAGACACGGCCCAGACUCCUACGGGAGGCAGCAGUGGGGAAUAUUGCGCAAUGGGCGGAAGCCUGACGCAGCGACGCCGCGUGGGGGAUGACGGCCUUCGGGUUGUAAACCUCUUUCAGCAGGGACGAAGUUGACGUGUACCUGCAGAAGAAGCGCCGGCUAACUACGUGCCAGCAGCCGCGGUAAUACGUAGGGCGCAAGCGUUGUCCGGAAUUAUUGGGCGUAAAGAGCUCGUAGGUGGCUGGUCGCGUCUGCCGUGAAAGCCCGCAGCUUAACUGCGGGUCUGCGGUGGAUACGGGCCGGCUAGAGGUAGGCAGGGGCAAGUGGAAUUCCUGGUGUAGCGGUGAAAUGCGCAGAUAUCAGGAGGAACACCGGUGGCGAAGGCGGCUUGCUGGGCCUUACCUGACGCUGAGGAGCGAAAGCGUGGGGAGCGAACAGGAUUAGAUACCCUGGUAGUCCACGCCGUAAACGUUGGGCGCUAGGUGUGGGACCCUUCCACGGGUUCCGUGCCGGAGCUAACGCAUUAAGCGCCCCGCCUGGGGAGUACGGCCGCAAGGCUAAAACUCAAAGGAAUUGACGGGGGCCCGC
rnacentral:rRNA from 1 species